CACAAUUCCUAUAAAGGAAGUAUUUUAUUUCCAUUUUAUACAAGAUGAAACUCCGGUUCACAGAAGGCAAGGAAUUUUUGAAAUCAUUCUGGUAAUAAGUGACACAGUCAGGAUUCAGAUCCAGAUCUGAAUGAAGAAAAAAAAUCCAUCAUUUUUCUACUGUAUCACUCACAAUUCAGCAGCCUACCUCUGGAGACAUGGUGGCCCCUCAAUGCAUUUGUCCAAUAUGUGAGGUGAGUGAGUGUGGAGUAAAUGUGGAUUUUCUACAGGAAUUGGGGCAUGAGAAAUUCUCAAAAAAAUGCUUGUGGCUUAGGUGAAGGACAGGCCAGAUGUGGAACACACACGGCCCAGCGUCUGGGUCUAUCUGGAAAUAACUGCUUGGCACAGCGACUUCUUGCAGGCAGGCUCUUAGGAGUCUGUGUGGAAGGAGACUUGGACAAGCAGAAGUAUGCAGAGUUGGAGUGGGGUGAGGCCUGGACACUGGCGUAAGAGAUCAGAGUAGGCUGUGGACGAUGUUAAAUGACUUGACGGUGGUCAAUUAGAUGGAGAGGGCAAGAACCUUGAAGGUCCUGACACUUGUUGAAUGGAACUUAAGUAUUCUCAGGAGUGAUCAAAUUGGAGACUGGACAUCAAAAACUAUACCUGAUAUUAAAAACAGCAACAAAAGGCUGAGCUCACACUUGUAAUCCCAGCACUUUGGGAGGCCGAGGUGGACAGAUCACGAGGUCAGGAGAUCGAGACCAUCCUGGCUAACACAGUGAAACCCCGUCUCUACUAAAAAUACAAAACAUUAGCCAGGUUUGGUGGCAUGUGCCUGUAGUCCCAGCUACUCGGGAGGCUGAGGCAGGACAAUCGCUUGAACCCGGGAGGCGGAGGUUGCAGUGAGCCGAGAUCACACCACUGCACUCCAGCCUGGGCAACAGAGCGAGACUCUGUCUCAAAAAAAAAAAAUUUAUUUAUUUAUUUA
rnacentral:lncRNA from 1 species